GGGGCUGUAGCACAGCUGGUAGUGCGCCUGGUUCGCAAUCAGGAGAUCAGGGGUUCGAGCCCCCUCAGCUCCACCA
rnacentral:tRNA from 1 species